UACGUAGGUGGCAAGCGUUGUCCGGAGUUACUGGGCGUAAAGCGCACGCAGGCGGUCUAUUAAGUUUGGAGUGACAGUUGGUGGCUUAACUGCCAAAGUGCUUCGAAAACUGAGAGACUUGAGGGCUUCAGAGGGACACGGAAUUCCGGGUGGAGUGGUGAAAUGCGUAGAGAUCCGGAGGAACACCAAAGGCGAAGGCAGUGUCCUGGGGAGUAACUGACGCUCAGGUGCGAAAGCCAGGGGAGCGAACGGG
rnacentral:rRNA from 1 species